AGAGUUUGAUCCUGGCUCAGGACGAACGCUGGCGGCACGCUUAACACAUGCAAGUCGAACGAGAGAAGAGGAGCUUGCUUUUCUGAUCUAGUGGCGGACGGGUGAGUAACACGUGAGCAAUCUGCCUUUCAGAGGGGGAUACCGAUUGGAAACGAUCGUUAAUACCGCAUAACAUAAUUGAACCGCAUGAUUUGAUUAUCAAAGAUUUAUCGCUGAAAGAUGAGCUCGCGUCUGAUUAGCUAGUUGGUAAGGUAACGGCUUACCAAGGCGACGAUCAGUAGCCGGACUGAGAGGUUGAUCGGCCACAUUGGGACUGAGACACGGCCCAGACUCCUACGGGAGGCAGCAGUGGGGAAUAUUGCACAAUGGAGGAAACUCUGAUGCAGCGAUGCCGCGUGAGGGAAGAAGGUUUUAGGAUUGUAAACCUCUGUCUUCAGGGACGAAAAAAGACGGUACCUGAGGAGGAAGCUCCGGCUAACUACGUGCCAGCAGCCGCGGUAAUACGUAGGGAGCGAGCGUUGUCCGGAAUUACUGGGUGUAAAGGGAGCGUAGGCGGGAUCGCAAGUCAGAUGUGAAAACUAUGGGCUUAACCCAUAAACUGCAUUUGAAACUGUGGUUCUUGAGUGAAGUAGAGGUAAGCGGAAUUCCUAGUGUAGCGGUGAAAUGCGUAGAUAUUAGGAGGAACAUCAGUGGCGAAGGCGGCUUACUGGGCUUUAACUGACGCUGAGGCUCGAAAGCGUGGGGAGCAAACAGGAUUAGAUACCCUGGUAGUCCACGCCGUAAACGAUGAUUACUAGGUGUGGGGGGACUGACCCCUUCCGUGCCGCAGCAAACGCAAUAAGUAAUCCACCUGGGGAGUACGACCGCAAGGUUGAAACUCAAAGGAAUUGACGGGGGCCCGCACAAGCAGUGGAGUAUGUGGAUUAAUUCGAAGCAACGCGAAGAACCUUACCAGGUCUUGACAUCGUAUGCAUAGCUCAGAGAUGAGUGAAAUCUCUUCGGAGACAUAUAGACAGGUGGUGCAUGGUUGUCGUCAGCUUGUGUCGUGAGAUGUUGGGUUAAGUCCCGCAACGAGCGCAACCCUUACUGUUAGUUGCUACGCAAGAGCACUCUAGCAGGACUGCCGUUGACAAAACGGAGGAAGGUGGGGAUGACGUCAAAUCAUCAUGCCCCUUAUGACCUGGGCCUCACACGUACUACAAUGGCUGUCAACAGAGGGAAGCAAAGCCGCGAGGUGGAGCGAACCCCUAAAAGCAGUCUUAGUUCGGAUUGUAGGCUGCAACCCGCCUACAUGAAGUCGGAAUUGCUAGUAAUCGCAGAUCAGCAUGCUGCGGUGAAUACGUUCCCGGGCCUUGUACACACCGCCCGUCACGCCAUGGGAGUCGGUAACACCCGAAGCCUGUAGUCUAACCGCAAGGAGGACGCAGUCGAAGGUGGGAUUGAUGACUGGGGUGAAGUCGUAACAAGGUA
rnacentral:rRNA from 1 species